GACGAACGCUGGCGGCGUGCCUAAUACAUGCAAGUAGAACGCUGAAGCUUGGUGCUUGCACCGAGCGGAUGAGUUGCGAACGGGUGAGUAACGCGUAGGUAACCUGCCUGGUAGCGGGGGAUAACUAUUGGAAACGAUAGCUAAUACCGCAUGAUAUUGAUUAUUGCAUGAUAGUCAAUUAAAAGGUGCAAUUGCAUCACUACCAGAUGGACCUGCGUUGUAUUAGCUAGUUGGUGAGGUAACGGCUCACCAAGGCAACGAUACAUAGCCGACCUGAGAGGGUGAUCGGCCACACUGGGACUGAGACACGGCCCAGACUCCUACGGGAGGCAGCAGUAGGGAAUCUUCGGCAAUGGACGGAAGUCUGACCGAGCAACGCCGCGUGAGUGAAGAAGGUUUUCGGAUCGUAAAGCUCUGUUGUAAGAGAAGAACGAGUGUGAGAGUGGAAAGUUCACACUGUGACGGUAUCUUACCAGAAAAGGACGGCUAACUACGUGCCAGCAGCCGCGGUAAUACGUAGGUCCCGAGCGUUGUCCGGAUUUAUUGGGCGUAAAGCGAGCGCAGGCGGUUAGAUAAGUCUGAAGUUAAAGGCUGUGGCUUAACCAUAGUACGCUUUGGAAACUGUUUAACUUGAGUGCAAGAGGGGAGAGUGGAAUUCCAUGUGUAGCGGUGAAAUGCGUAGAUAUAUGGAGGAACACCGGUGGCGAAAGCGGCUCUCUGGCUUGUAACUGACGCUGAGGCUCGAAAGCGUGGGGAGCAAACAGG
rnacentral:rRNA from 1 species